rnacentral:lncRNA from 1 species
AUUUUAUAAAUUAGGUGAGAAAUGUUUCUACAAAAAUCUACUCAUCCUACAUAAACAUUCAUAUUCUACUUACUACAAGACAUGGUCAUUGGAACAAUAAAAUCCACUAUUUCCUACUUUUGUUCCUCACAUGCUUGAUUACUUAACAUUAUUACAUGCAAAUUACUCAUAGAGUCAUAAUGUUUUUUUUUUCUUUUAAAAAGACUAUUCAUACCAACAAACAUUUUAAAUCACAUUAUCGUUCGAAGUCACAUAACGAUCCAUGAUAUCACAGAGAAUAGAUCAUCAAAUGCUACGACAAAAACAUUGAUGUCGCACUCCAGAUCGUCGUGGACUGUUUUAAAACCCUACUAACAAAUAUCACACAAAAUAGAUACCUAAUGCCAAUACAUCAAAAACCCUUUUUAAAACCGUUAGCCGAAUUUUCUUAAUUUGGCGAACUAUGAUCUGUGCCGGUGCCACUCGAGACCGGUUGUGUGGUGGAAUCCUCCAAAUUACUAUCAUCAGUGUUCACAAACUUCAAGUAAUUUUCAAUCUCUUUAGAG